UACGUAGGGGUGCAAGCGUUGUUCCGGAAUUAUUGGGGCGUAAAGGAGCUCGUAGGCGGUUAGUCGCGUCUGCUGUGAAAACUCGGGGCUUAACUCCGGGCCUGCAGUGGGUACGGGCUGACUAGAGUGCGGUAGGGGAGACUGGAAUUCCUGGUGUAGCGGUGAAAUGCGCAGAUAUCAGGAGGAACACCGGUGGCGGAAGGCGGGUCUCUGGGCCGUAACUGACGCUGAGGAGCGAAAGCGUGGGGAGCGAACAGG
rnacentral:rRNA from 1 species